UGAAACAUGAGGUUGUUUCUUGGUACUAUCACCAGAAUUGCCAUGCCCUGGAAGCUAUUUGUGUUUCCAAAAGCAGGUCAAGACAACAUAAAAUUCACAACUUUAAUUAAUUUGAUUACAUCUGAGCAGACCUGUGGAAGUUCAGACCCUGGGCCUUUUCCCAUUGCUCUGGGUUAGAAGGAAGUGCAGAUAGAGCACUUGGAUUUAGUUUCUAAACAAAUGUUGUCUAAGCAUAUCAUAUGGCUCAAGGUUAACAAUCAUGGCAUUAAAUUAUUUUUCCUUUAAGCAUUAGUAGAUAGUAUUCUCCUAGUGUCUUGUUGGAGUGCUUCCAGGAAUGCUUCUAAUUACCGGGAUCCUUGUUCUUACAAAUAAAAAGCUGCUGGUAAUGAAGUGUGCAAGAAUCUGGAGCCCCUAGGAGAAAAGGGUUAGCACCUCGAUGUAGCUUUAAGCAAAACUGAGGUAUGCAAUAAGUUAGGAUUAUGAUCGUUGAUCAUUCUCAACUUGAACCAGAGUAAAAAGAUGUUGUUUAUAAGGGUAUAUACCUUAUAAUUUGUUUUAUUUAGUAUUGCCUGCAACUGUGGGGUUGGCUGGAGCAGCCUGAAAACUGCAGUGUUUUACUUUUCUUUCUCUCAGUGUGAUGAGGCUGUACAGGAGGACAGAAGUAUCACAAACCACAAUCUCUCUUGUCCUUCCCCUCAGUUACAAAAGUGCUGCUUCUUAUUUUCAUCUUUUGAGAUGAGAGAAAGUGUAAUUAAUUACCAGGCUAGCUCUCUGCCCCAGGGAAGGAAAUGCUACUCGUUUUGAGGCCAGAACAAUAUCCACUCUUGUUCUGCUUUUCUGAAAGGGUAGGCACUUUCCCAUGCUUUGGUUUCAAACUGAAGAAUGGCUAUAUAAAAUUUCUCUCGAAGUGGAAACUGGUCCUUCCAUGUUAGUGGAUAAAGGUUAUAGGUCACAGGCAGUUGAUGGGAUAGUACAAAAGAGCUUAUUUGUGCACUCAUUGAGGAGGGAAGUCCUCGCAGUAUCAAUGGGGCUGCUUUGUCACAAGCCUAGACGUGGCGAAGUCCCAAUGGCUUGAAAGGAAUGACAGUGAGUCAGACUGCACAAGAACUUUCUAUCUGUGAAGCGUGCUCUGUAGAUGCAUGUUUAGUAAAGCCUUACAGGGACAAAUGUAAGAGGGUUUUCAUUGAUAGUUUGCAGUUAUUUUUGAAAUGAAUGGUGGUUCUAGGAGACUGAAAGUGCUCGGAGAUGAUGGAAGAUGUUUUUUUCUUUCACUGGAGUGCUGGUACCUGUUCCAGCUGCUGGAGUGUGAAGCCUUCGUAUGCAAAUGGUUCUGUUUGCUAGUCCUGUAAAUCGUAAUCUCUGAACACAGAAGGGACAGGUUUGGAGUCCGAGGCAAUGCAUCCUGAAUGGGCAGAGAAGUUGAAAUUCAUGUAUUGCGUGCAGGUGUGAGGAUUUGCCUGUGCUUUUCAGGAAAAUGGAUGAUGAAACGUAUUUUGUUCUUUUUCUCUUCCUAUCCAUCCUCCCCUCUGCUCUCUUGAUUAAGGUGUGUUAACAAAGCUUGCCAGGCUCCCCUGCUGUUAACUUUGAAGCUUUGGAAUAGACUCACUUCUAAAGGGGCUCUGGCAACUUGGAUUUGAAUUCACUUGACAUUGGCUCAGUCUUCAGUGCUGUUAAUUGUGAAACUGUUGAAAGCUCAGCUGUAUUUCCUGGGCAAAUUCUAUUGUUUUGUUGUAUUCUGUACUUGAAGAUCUUAUUUGAAACUGUAUUUAUGUGCCCAGUUUGAAGGCUUUCACAUAGUGAAGGGGUAUAGAGAUCUCUCAUCUGUGAGCCUGCAGCACGCAGGUGUGUCCUCCAUCCAGAACAAGGGGGAAAGAUGCAUCUGAACAUCAGUUCCUGCUUUCUGUCUGAGCGUCAACUUCUAGCGGAUGAAAACCAGAGAUCCUGCAGGCAGCUGUGUAUCUUACACACGAAGUGAUCCUUGUUUAAAAGUAUUUCUAAUGUAACGUCACAUCACAUGCCAGCUUAGUUUAAUUCCGUUUUCCAGGGAAAGCAGAUGAGUCACUUCUACUUAAUCAGUUCUUAAUUAUUUUCACUUUCUGCUACUCUUCUGUCUUCACAGUGAGACGUUGGAGGAGGCUGUUAACUGUAACCAUUGGUUUAAACCCAUCCUAAUAAAUACUUUU
ensembl:lncRNA